UCCCGGUUGGUGUAACGGCUAACAUUGCCGCCUUUCAUCCCAUGCCAUCAUGUGACAUGAGAAAUACCGCGGCAGCUCGGGGUUCGAUUCCCCGAUCGGGAA